rnacentral:rRNA from 1 species
UACGUAGGGGGCUAGCGUUGUCCGGAUUUAUUGGGCGUAAAGAGCGUGUAGGCGGCCAGGUAGGUCUGCUGUGAAAACUCGAGGCUUAACCUCGAGAUGUCGCGGAAACGCAUCUGGCGUAGAGUCCGGAAGAGGAGAGUGGAAAUUCCUGGUGUAGCGGUGAAAUGCGCAGAUAUCAGGAAGAACACCCGUGGCGAAGGCGGCUCUCUGGGACGGUACUGACGCUGAGACGCGAAAGCGUGGGGAGCGAACAGG